rnacentral:lncRNA from 1 species
ACGCGGGCUGAGGCGGGACUCACGGCGGCCGGGCAGGGCCGGGCGGCGGCGGCGGCGGCGACUGCUCCGGGCAGCGCUGCAGGGCGAGGGCUGGCAACCGCCGGCAGGAGGGAGAUGCGCGCACACACCAGUGCGGAGAUAGAGGGAGGAUGAAUGGAUGGAGCGAUGCACAGAGCCGAGAGGAGUGCCUCUUGCCAAGCCGCCCCCUCCCCUCCAUGUGACGCAGAUGUGCUCUGGGGCCAUCAGUGUGAAUAGACACAGGGAAAGGGAUGCUUCAGUCAUCCUCACACAAGGACAAAAUUCCAGCUUGCAGAAGAUACAGGAGUUGUGGUACAUUCCCUCACACAGGAUUGUUUUUUCUAUAUUGUAUAGCAACAUUGUUUCAAAAGGAAGAACUAAGAAAAUUAAAUUAUCUGCUCCAAGCCAGCAUCUCUUUGUGUAAAGCAUUGUCCUGGGAAAUCCAGAAUGCUUAACUUACCCUGUCAGUGUAAGGUGUGCAUUAAAGUAUUUGACAGCCUGGAAAAUUCCUCUGGCCAUAAGGAAAUAAUACAAAAUACAAACAAGACAUCAGUUUGUCUUCCUGUGUUUAUUCCUUAAAAUAAUAAAUAGAUAAAUAAAUAAAUCA